UACGGAGGGGGCAAGCGUUAUCCGGAUUCACUGGGCUUAAAGGGUGCGUAGGCGGUCAGGUAAGUCAGUGGUGAAAUCUCCAAGCUUAACUUGGAAACUGCCGUUGAUACUAUCUGUCUUGAAUAUUGUGGAGGUGAGCGGAAUAUGUCAUGUAGCGGUGAAAUGCUUAGAUAUGACAUAGAACACCAAUUGCGAAGGCAGCUCACUGGGCAAUCAUUGACUCUGAGGCACGAAAGCGUGGGGAUCAAACAGG
rnacentral:rRNA from 1 species